GUGAAUUGCAGAAUUCCGUGAACCAUCGAAUCUUUGAACGCAAAUUGCGCUCGAGGCCUCGGCCAAGAGCAUGUCUGCCUCAGCGUCGGCUACUACCCUCAACUAAGUUUCCUAUACACAUAGGGGAUGCCGGUUGGAUCUGGCCGUCCGGUUUGCCUUUUAGGUUGCCGGUCAGCUGAAAUACAUUCACGCUCUGGGAGCUGCUUUCCUUCCGAGGAGAGGCGAGUUCCGAUUUGGUAGGUGACCUUUGCCGGUUGCAUGCCUUCGUUGCCCGCUAAGCUUCCCAGUAUGCGUUGUGCAGGACGCCUUUUGGCUUUCGACCUGAGGUCAGGCAAGAACACCCGCUGAACUUAAGCAUAUCAAUAAGCGGAGGAAAAGAAACUAACUAGGAUUCCCUUAGUAGCGGCGAGCGAACCGGGAUCAGCCCAACUUGUAAAUCAUUAACCUCUUGGCUAAUUGAAUUGUAGUCUCAAGAUGCGAUCUCUGCAGCUAGCAGUGCCCCAAAUUUUCCUUGGAAAAGGGGAGUCAAGAGAGGGGUGAGAACCCCGUUCGGGCACUUGCCCUCCACCUGCCUCCACCGAGGGCGUUUUUUCUCCANAGUUCGGGGGUUGCUUUGGGGAAAUUGCCAGCCCCUUUAAGUUAGGGUUGGGUAAAUUCCCCCUUCUUUAAGGGCCUUAAUUACUUUGACCGGGGGAAAACCCGAUUCCAACUU
rnacentral:rRNA from 1 species